rnacentral:misc_RNA from 1 species
AAGUCGUAACAAGGUUUCCGUAGGUGAACCUGCGGAAGGAUCAUUAACACGUAUCCAAACGUUAACCCCCCUGUGAACCUUCAGGCAAUCCCUGGUAAAUCAUCGCCGAACAGUUUUGAUUCUGGGACUUCCUCAAAGAGUGUGCAUGUUGCGCGAGGCAAGUGGCCUGGCAUUCCCAAGCAGUUAAUGUCUGAAAGUGUCAUUAGCUGUGUAAGGAUGACGCAGUAACGAUCGUUGGAGGCCGACACGGCCGACGACCGGGUCACCGGGCGCAAGCCCCUUUAUCACCACUUAAUGCAUGACAGACGCGCCAGCGCUUAAUUGUGCGGCGACCAAAAACCGAACAACUGUUAACAAUGGAUAUCUUGGUUCUC